AUUGAACGCUGGCGGCAUGCUUUACACAUGCAAGUCGAACGGCAGCGCGGGCUUUGGCCUGGCGGCGAGUGGCGAACGGGUGAGUAAUACAUCGGAACGUGCCCAGUAGUGGGGGAUAGCUCGGCGAAAGCCGGAUUAAUACCGCAUACGACCUGAGGGUGAAAGCGGGGGAUCUUCGGACCUCGCGCUAUUGGAGCGGCCGAUGGCAGAUUAGCUAGUCGGUGGGGUAAAGGCCUACCAAGGCGACGUUCUGUAGCUGGUCUGAGAGGACGACCAGCCACACUGGGACGGAGACACGGCCCAGACUCCUACGGGAGGCAGCAGUGGGGAAUUUUGGACAAUGGGCGAAAGCCUGAUCCAGCAAUGCCGCGUGUGUGAUGAAGGCCUUCGGGUUGUAAAGCACUUGUGGCGGGAACGAAAAGGACUGUGCCAAUACCACGGUUCGAUGACGGUACCCGCAGAAUAAGCACCGGCUAACUACGUG
rnacentral:rRNA from 1 species